rnacentral:lncRNA from 1 species
ACAGGCAUGAUUUGACAGGAUAAUGCCCUCACUUGAUAAAAGGAGAGACUCUCUGUCAGCUGCCCGCAUCCUCCCUGAAGCUCUGGAAUCUGACUUCAUGGAGCAUUUGAGCAGCUAAGCUUUUCCUGACCCCCUCCCUCCCACCACCACUCCCGCCUUCCCCCAGUUGCUGAGCAUAAUUGAGAAUUAAUUGCAUGUCUGCUUAUUAUUUUGCUUACUUAAUUUGGUCUAAACGUUGUUCACACUCCAGACUUAAGGCCUGGAAGUGGCUGUCUUCAGGGACCAUUUCUGAGCUCAGCAAACCUUCCCAGCAGGACCUGAUCUCUCCAAGACAGGCGCUCCAGUGGAUCUGAGUUAGAUCGGUGUAUAGAUCAGAGUUCCUAAGAAGCAAUGGACAAAGACCCAGAGUCUGUGCUGGGGGCCUUGGAAGGCUCUAAACCCUGAGCAGCAGUUUACAGAAGAGGCGAACAAUAUGGAUAUGGAGACAAUCUCUUAGGAGACUUGGGAGUGCUCUCCUGUAGGAUCCAAGACUUCUCAUCUUUCCGAUGCGAACUGAAUUAUGCUAGCAUGUCAACCAGGACAUUUCAGAGAAGCAUCGAAACGUGUUAGUAAACCUCUUACCAGAACACCCUCACUAUCGAUUUUUUUUUGUCACUAAAACACAAACCAGCAUGGGACAUUAAACAGGACCUUUGGUAUUUGGUGUUGGGAAAAUGCCCCCUUGGAUCUAGAGCUCUUUAGGAGUAAUGGCUUCCCGAAAAGAACUAUAGAGAAAAAGAAGGCAGAAUAACCCAGGUGCCUGAGCAUCUUUGAGGAGGAACAAGAGGAGAAGAAUAGGGGCGAAUGGCAAAACCCUGUCCCUUUUAUGGAGGAUUGUCCUCCGCCUCGGACAUGUCGCUCCCUGAUUGGCUGCAGCCCAUCAACCGAGUUGUCGUCAAGGGGAAGGCAGAGCACAUGGAGUGGAGAACUACCCCGGCACAUGCGCAGAUUAUUUGUUUACUACUUAGAACACAGGAUGUCGGCGCCAUCUUGUAAUGGUGAAUGUGAGGGUGGCUCCUCACAACAUCCCUUUAAUCCCAGUACUGAAGGCAGAGGCAGGUGGAUUUCUGAGUCUGAAGACAGCCUGGUAUAGAGAGCUAGUUCCAGGGCUAUACAAGAAGACUCUGUCUUGCAAAAAAUGAAACAAAACAAAAUAAAACAAAUGAAUAAACAAAAAGAAAGAAGCUUCAAUUUUUAUAAAAUAAAAACUAAUUUACUUUA